AGAACGUUCUCGACUUGCCUGACACUGGGUUUGAAGCCUCGCCGUCCUGCUUCCAGCUCUGUGGCCUCCCUGCCUCAGUUUCCCCGUCUGUGCGGGCAGACCGGUUUCCCCUGGAGGUCAGAGUUGGCCUAAUUUCUAGUUGCAUCCGCAGUUUUCAUCCGUCACUGGGUUCUGCCAGCUCUUCUCUUGUAGAAAGUGCUGAAGAUGACAGAUCCACCAACAGGAAGCAGAUAUUCACAGAAAAGCUUGGAAACGGCUGACCUCAGUUGGGCAGCUUAUGUAUGUCUUGGGGAAGGCUUUUGGGGCAUGCAUGUGCAGCGCGGAGCCCCUGACUGCUCGUCACUGAUUCCCCGAGAGGGGCCUUGUCAUGAAGACAUGUCUUCGUGUUGGAGAGAGUGCCCGCAGACCGUCAGCUGUCCCACCACCCCCAAAGACUUGCCCACGCCCCAGGUCAGCGAGCGGAGGGACCCACACCCCAGUCGAAUGCAGAUGCCGCAGGGGAACCCGCUGCUGCUGUCAUACACCCUGCAGGAGCUACUGGGCAGGGACACUGUGCAGGUGGAGCUCAUUCCCGAAAAGAAGGGCCUUUUCCUGAAGCAUGUGGAAUACGAGGUUUCCAGCCAGCGCUUCAAGUCCUCCGUGUACAGACGGUACAAUGACUUCGUGGUUCUCCACGACAUGCUGCUGCAGAAGUUUCCCUACCGCAUGGUGCCGGCCCUGCCGCCCAAGAGAGUGCUGGGAGCCGACCGGGAGUUCAUCGAGGCCCGGCGGAGGGCGCUGAGGCGCUUCAUUAACCUGGUGGCCCGGCACCCCCCGUUCUCCGAGGACGUGGCCCUCCGGCUGUUCCUGUCCUUCAGUGGCCCUGACGUGCAGAACAAGUUAAAGGAAUCAGCUCAGUAUGUUGGAGAUGAAUUCAUGAACUGUAAGCUGGCUCCUCGGGCCAAGGACUUCCUCCCGGCCGACAUCCAGACUCAGUUAGCCGUCAGCCGGGAGCUCAUUCGGAACAUCUACAACAGCUUCCACAAGCUUCGCGAUCGGGCUGAGCGGAUUGCAUCGAGGGCCAUCGACAAUGCUGCUGACCUUCUCAUAUUCGGGAAGGAGCUGAGUGCUUUGGGGUCUGACACGACCCCGCUCCCCUCCUGGGCCUCUCUGAACAGCAGCACGUGGGGGUCCCUUAAACAGGCGCUGAGAGGCCUGUCCGUUGAAUUUGCACUGCUUGCUGACAAAGCUGCCCAGCAGGGCAAACAGGAAGAGAAUGACGUGGUGGAGAAAUUGAACCUCUUCUUGGAUUUGCUCCAGUCCUAUAAAGAGCUGUGUGAACGGCAUGAGAAGGGCGUGCUGCACAAGCACCAGCGUGCACUGCACAAGUACAGCCUGACGAGGAGGCAGAUGCUGAGCACCACCGUGCAGAGCCGCGAGCCCGACGCCGCAGAGCAGCUGGAGUCCCGCAUCGUCGAGCAGGAGAAUGCCAUCCAGACCUUGGAGCUUCGGAGCUACUUCUCCUUGUACUGCCUGCACCAGGAGAUGCAGCUGGUCCACGUCUACCUGCCCCUCACCUCCCACAUUCUCGGGGCCUUUGUCAACUCACAGAUCCAAGGGCACAAGGAGAUGAGCAAGGUGUGGAACGACCUGAAGCCCAAGCUCAGCUGCCUCUUCGCGGGACCCAACAGUUCCCUGACCCCGCCGAGGCCCCUGGAGGACGGCGUGUCUCCUCAGUAGUGCCAGUGGCCUGGGGCGGGAGCCCGGGCGGCCUCACUAAAACCUCUUUCCAAACGAGCCUCCUUGUACCUGAGCUGCAGGGUCUUCCUUGUCUUCCAUGGCCUGCGUGGGGGGACAGAGCCCUGCUCCCGGACUCCAGCAAGGCUGGAGUGGAACCCCACCCAGGACCUUCCAGCCUGGACCCUGCUCGCUCGCUCGCUGUCGCCGGCAGAUGCAGAGCCGGAGCGGAAGACACAGUUCUGAUGCGCGCACAGGACUCUGGCUGGUUCUGUCUGCCUCGAGGCCCUUCCUCCCUUGGUGACGCAGUUUGAUGUAUGGAGCACUUUAUAAGAAAAGCUGUAGGGAUCAGUUACUAUUAUGCCCAGUAAACUGGAAUUGUUCACAAAUG